UACAGAGGUCCCAAGCGUUGUUCGGAUUCACUGGGCGUAAAGGGUGCGUAGGCGGUUGGGUAAGUCUGAUGUGAAAUCUCACAGCUUAACUGUGAAACUGCAUUGGAUACUAUCCAACUCGAGGAAUGGAGGGGAGACUGGAAUACUUGGUGUAGCAGUGAAAUGCGUAGAUAUCAAGUGGAACACCAGUGGCGAAGGCGGCUUUCUGGUCUGUAACUGACGCUGAGGCGCGAAAGCGUGGGGAGCAAACAGG
rnacentral:rRNA from 1 species